GUGCUCACUUCGGCAACACAUAUACUAAAAUUGGAACAAGGCUGAGAAGAUUAGCGCGGCCCCUGUGCAAGGAUCACAUGCAAAUUCGUGAAGCGUUCUGUAUUUUU
rnacentral:snRNA from 1 species